rnacentral:rRNA from 1 species
CGAGCGGACAGAUGGGAGCUUGCUCCCUGAUGUUAGCGGCGGACGGGUGAGUAACACGUGGGUAACCUGCCUGUAAGACUGGGAUAACUCCGGGAAACCGGGGCUAAUACCGGAUGGUUGUCUGAACCGCAUGGUUCAGACAUAAAAGGUGGCUUCGGCUACCACUUACAGAUGGACCCGCGGCGCAUUAGCUAGUUGGUGAGGUAACGGCUCACCAAGGCGACGAUGCGUAGCCGACCUGAGAGGGUGAUCGGCCACACUGGGACUGAGACACGGCCCAGACUCCUACGGGAGGCAGCAGUAGGGAAUCUUCCGCAAUGGACGAAAGUCUGACGGAGCAACGCCGCGUGAGUGAUGAAGGUUUUCGGAUCGUAAAGCUCUGUUGUUAGGGAAGAACAAGUGCCGUUCAAAUAGGGCGGCACCUU